rnacentral:rRNA from 1 species
GACGAACGCUGGCGGCGUGCUUAACACAUGCAAGUCGAACGGAAAGGCCCUGCUUGCCGGGUGCUCGAGUGGCGAACGGGUGAGUAACACGUGGGUGAUCUGCCCCUUACUUUGGGAUAAGCCUGGGAAACUGGGUCUAAUACUGGAUAGGACCAUGCUGUAGGUGGUGUGGUGGAAAGAUUAGUUUCGGUAAGGGAUGAGCUCGCGGCCUAUCAGCUUGUUGGUGGGGUAAUGGCCUACCAAGGCGUCGACGGGUAGCCGGCCUGAGAGGGUGGACGGCCACAUUGGGACUGGGGUACGGGCCAGACUCCUACGGGAGGCAGCAGUGGGGAAUAUUGCACAAUGGGCGCAAGCCUGAUGCAGCGACGCCGCGUGGGGGAUGACGGCCUUCGGGUUGUAAACUCCUUUCAGCCAUGACGAAGCCCUUGUGGUGACGGUAGUGGUAGAAGAAGCACCGGCUAACUACGUG